rnacentral:rRNA from 5 species
CUUCGGACUGGCCCAGGGAGGUCGGCAACGACCACCCAGGGCCGGAAAGUUGGUCAAACCCGGUCAUUUAGAGGAAGUAAAAGUCGUAACAAGGUCUCCGUAGGUGAACCUGCGGAGGGAUCAUU